rnacentral:tRNA from 1 species
GGUGGCUCAGUGGUAGAGUGCUUGCCUUGCAUGCAGGACGCCCUGGGUUUGAUUCCUCAGCACCA